AUCGGAAUCCUCCAGCUUCUUCCUCUUCAAGGCGUGGCCCGAUGGCGAUAAAUCCGACGCUUCAUAGCGCCAUCUUCGCGGUGCUGAUGUCGACCGUGUACGUGGGCACGUCGUAUCAAUUGCGCAAGAUUGCGGAGGAAACCAAGGAGCGCCAGCGCCAGAUGCAGAUACGCGCCGCCGCCUCCCAGCCCCAGGACAACAAGACCUAGCCCGCCGGUAGCCUGGAUGAUGGCCAAGACCGAACAAGACGUCUUGAGAUCCGACUUAAUUUACUUCUCCAGUAUUUCGUUUUCUUGCUGCAGUCUGUAAUCCGUUUGUCUCUGCACUCUAUUAUUCGCAGUAAUUCUCAUGGUGGCUUGCUACUCUUUUGCUUUGAUUCACAACCGCAACGUGUGCUCUCAUUCACUCAGAUUCUUAGUAAAAUUGGGUUGAUUUGUAAA